CGAAGAACAGGCGCGGCCGCUCUCUGCUUGCAGGGGGAGGAAAGUCAGGACACCGUAGAGCAGAUCGGCUUCUAACGGGAGCCUAGGGUGACCUAGAGACAGUGCCACAGAAAACAAACCGCCCGCCGAAGCUUCGUGUGGAGGAUGGGUAAGGGUGAAACGGUGAGGUAAGAGCUCACCAGCGCCGAAGGCAACUUCGGCGGCUAGGUAAACCUCGGUUGGUGCAAGACCAAAUAGGAAAACCGCUUCGGGGCUUGCCCCGCGGCAGCAGCUGCUCGUUGUGUGAGUUUUCGGGUUGCGUCGCUUAGAUGAAUGGUCGCGGCGCGCUUCUGGCGUGAUACAGAAUCCUGCUUAUACUGCUCUUCGUCCC
rnacentral:RNase_P_RNA from 1 species